CGGGGCGUGGUAUAGUGGUAUUACGCACGCUUCGGGUGCGUGUAAUCCGGGUUCGAUUCCCGGCGCCCCGA
rnacentral:tRNA from 1 species